rnacentral:lncRNA from 1 species
AUCUCGGAACAAGAUGAGAGCUGGGAGAUGAUCUUAUCCGGAAGAAGGAAUCUCAUGCGGAUGGUGUUGAUAGGAUCACUUGUGAACUUGUCCGUGGAUAAGAAUAGGAAGGCUGGGAUCUUAGCGGAGGAAGAUGCGUACGGUUGGCGUUGGAUUUCUUUAUUCCGAAGCAGGGGAUGAAGGUGCAAGCUGAGAAGAUCUCGGAUGCAUGGGAUGUUGCUGAAUGGAAACGGUUGGGAGAUAUGGGAUGCUAACGGGAUGAUAACUCUGUUUGAAAUGGGGGAGGAUGUGGUUGGAUGCCAUGAAGCUCGGGAGGAACUCGGAUCAAGCUUGGGAGCGGAUGCAAGGCUGUUCUGCUAGGAGGAUGGCGCUGAUCCGAAGCUGAAGAUAAGAUGAGCUGGGAGAUGAAGCUUGAUCAGAUGAUUUGAGAGGAUGAGGAUGAAUAUGGAGACGUGGGAGUUUGGAUUCUGAACAGGAGCUAGGACGGCUGGGAGUUGAUAUUGUUAGGAACCCGCCUAUGCCG